AGUGGAACUGCGCAUCGGAGAGAAAGCUCAUAAAAUUCAAAAAAACAAGUAAUUUCACUCGCAAUGUUUUCAAAUCAAGUUCCCAAUAAAUCUCAUCUAUCUACUCACAGACCUUUCAAUCUCUGCACAAGAUUGUAACUGAUAAAGCUUCUAAUAGUGCACAUAGAAAUCCUGUUUUGCUGCUCUGUUUAGCUCUUUCCAGGAGUAGGGUCUUGAUUUGUGGCUAUUCCAGCCGUUGGCACUUGAAUACAAGGUUGCUUUACAUAUUUCUGGAUAGCUUUCAUUCCCCUCUAUAUUGUAACUGGUAAAGCUUCUAAUAGUGCAAAUACAAUUCCUGUUUUGCCGCUAUGUUUAUCUGUUUCCAGGAAUAGAGUCUUGAUUUGUGGCUACUCCAGCCACUGGCAACCGAAUACAAGGGUGGCUUACGUAUAUCUGGAUAGCUUUCGUUCUCCUCUAUGUAUAGAUCUCAUCACAGUGUGUGAAGCUGUUGUUAAGAUUUUCAAAAGACAUUAGAGUUGGAACCAAAUGGUGGUGUCGGGGUUCAAAUGCAGAUGGCUGGAGGUUGUCGAUGGGUUGGACAAGGAAAUAUUUUCAACUGUGCCCAAAUUUGACAUGAGUAUUCUUUAAAAGUGAAUACUCAAGACCUUUCACUCGUUCUAUUCUGAAAUCUUUUUGCAACUUCUUUCACUGUGCAUGGGCUCAUGUGGAGAGGUCUGCCAUGCUGACUGGAAUGGGAGGAAAAGUUUGUCAUGCGAGCAAUAGUGGAUGAAGUUCUUUCAGAAGUCUUAGGAUACCUGCAGUUUCCUCAUGAAACUUCUCUAAGAGCAAGACACUGUUACCAGCUAGGUAAUGGGAAUGUGGCCUAGAGAAACUAGCUCACAGCUAACACGAUUGUUGCUGGUACUCAUGGAACCACAUACACCCCCACUAACCCCAACCUUAUACUGUGUAGCGUGUCACACACACUACUAGUUGGGACGACAGAUAGCAAAUGUUUCAAUAUUCUAUACAUUGCUUUCUAAGUCAGUUUAGUUUUUCAAAUUUUUUUCCCUUGAUUUUAUUUGUUAAUCACCUUGCCUUAUAUACUCUAUAACAGAUUAACAACAGUGUUUGAUUUCAAGUUGUAGGUAAGUUUCACUUAGUAGUUAUUAUGCAAAAGGUAUAAACCGUACAAGCCCACUAUCAAAUCUUCUUUGAUUUCGAUAAGCUCCUCCAACAUGGUGCUACUACCUUUAAGUCAUUUUAACUGUUGUGCAUAAUCCCUAGAAUCUCUUCUCUAAUGCAGGUGCGCUAUUGGAAACUGCGAUGGCUUGCAGAAGGACCACGAGGAUUACUGAUAUACUCAAACUCUUUCUGCACAUAAGUUCUAAACUUUUCGGCAUAGACAAAUGUCUUUGUUCUUUGAUGGCUUUAUAUCUUAUCCAUUUUUUUAAUGUUUUUUUGUGCGAGUUAAUCUCGUUAUGCAGUUUCUAAAUUGUGAAUUUAGAUGGUGGGCGUGGAUGUUUACUUUA